rnacentral:rRNA from 1 species
UACGUAGGGUCCGAGCGUUGUCCGGAAUUAUUGGGCGUAAAGGGCUCGUAGGCGGUCUGUCGCGUCGGCCGUGAAAACCUGCAGCUUAACUGUGGGCUUGCGGUCGAUACGGGCAUCACUGGAGUUCGGCAGGGGAGACUGGAAUUCCUGGUGUAGCGGUGAAAUGCGCAGAUAUCAGGAGGAACACCGGUGGCGAAGGCGGGUCUCUGGGCCGAUACUGACGCUGAGGAGCGAAAGCGUGGGGAGCGAACAGG